rnacentral:rRNA from 1 species
GCCGCAGUAUUUUAACUGUGCAAAGGUAGCAUAAUCAUUUGCUUUUUAAUUGGAAGCUUGUAUGAAGGGUUUUAUGAAAAAUAUUCUUUCUUUAUUUUAUUUAUAAUAAUUUUAUUUCUUUGUUAAAAAGCAAAGAUUUAUAUAUUAGACGAGAAGACCCUAUAAAACUUUAUUAAUAAAAUAAAUUUAUAUUUAUAGUUAAGUAAAAUUAUUAAUUUAUUUUAUUAAUUUUGUUGGGGUGACAAUUAAAUUUAUAUAACUUUAAUUUAUAAUUAAUCAUACAUUUUUGAUUUAUUUGAUCCAGAUAUAACUGAUUAUAAGAAUAAGUUACUUUAGGGAUAACAGCGUAAUUUUAUUGGAAAGUUCUUAUUGAUAAUAAAGUUUGCGACCUCGAUGUUGGAUUAAA